rnacentral:tRNA from 1 species
GGUUCCUUAGAGUAGUGGUUAGCAUGUCUGCUUUACACGCAGGAGGUCCUGGGUUCGAGCCCCAGCAGAGCCA